UUUGUGGCCCCAUGGACUGUAGCCCACCAGGCUCCUCUGUCCAUGGGAUUUCCCAGCCAAGAAUACUGAAGUGGGUUGCCAUUUCCUUCUCCAGGGGAUCUUCCUGACCUGCGAUUGAACCUGCGUCUCCUUCAUUGUCAGGUGGAUUCAUUACCGCUGAGCCACCAGAGAAGUUCUGGGAACAGAUGGAACUAUCCCAGAAGGGAAUUCUACAAGGAUUUCCUCUUAAGCAAUUUCUUCCUCACAUGGACCUACCUCCCAACUUCAAUUCUUACAUCAUUUCACCACCAGUUCAGAGUGGGGAGAACAAAUGACAAUGGAGAUUAAAAAGGAGAGAAGAGAAGAGAAAUUGGGUUUGGGGAGAGAUACAAUUGAACCCAUAACAGGAGGGAUGGUUCUUCCUGCUAAUGGACCAGAAUAGAAUUGGUGCCACCUGCUAUCCAAUGAGUAAAGCUUAUAUUUCUU
ensembl:lncRNA